GUGGAUUAGAUACCCUGGUAGUCCACACGGUAAACGAUGAAUACUCGCUGUUGGCGAUAUACAGUCAGCGGCCAAGCGAAAGCAUUAAGUAUUCCACCUGGGGAGUACGCCGGCAACGGUGAAACUCAAAGGAAUUGACGGGGGCCCGCACAAGCGGAGGAACAUGUGGUUUAAUUCGAUGAUACGCGAGGAACCUUACCCGGGCUUAAAUUGCACUGGACAGGCUCAGAGAUGGGCUCUUCUUCGGACCAGUGUGAAGGUGCUGCACGGUCGUCGCCAACU
rnacentral:rRNA from 1 species